rnacentral:rRNA from 1 species
UACAGAGGGUGCAAGCGUUGUUCGGAAUUAUUGGGCGUAAAGCGCGUGUAGGCGGCUUGGCAAGUCAAGGAUGUGAAAGCCCCUCGGCUUAACCGAGGAAGUGGCGUCUGAAACUGGCUGAGCUUGAGUCUCGGAGAGGAUGGCGGAAUUCCGCAAGUAGAGGUGAAAUUCGUAGAUAUGCGGAGGAACACCGGUGGCGAAGGCGGCCAUCUGGACGAGUACGUGACGCUGAGACGGCGAAAGCGUGGGGAGCAAACAGG